rnacentral:rRNA from 1 species
AUGAGCCCGGCGGGCUCACCCAAGCUUCUUGUCACGAACCUGGUGGCCUGCUCCAUCGGCUUCGUCGACCGGGUGGCCACGGUGGGCCCCUCCCGUGCUUCCUUCAUCGACGUCCCGAGCUUUCUACAAUCUCUCAUCGACCUUAAGUCUCAGAUCUCCUGCCCUUGGGUGAUCAUAGGUGACUUCAACAUCCCGCUUAGGCCCUCUGACAAGUCCUCUCCUAACUUUAACAUGAUGGAAGCCAACCUUUUCUCCUCCACCAUCCAUUCCCUGCAGAUGCAAGACCUUCCUCUGCUAGAUAGGAGAUACACUUGGUCAAACCAACAGAAUGUGCCCAUUCUGGUUCGCCUGGAUCGGGCGCUGGCCAACAUCGAAUGGGCCUCCAGGUUUCCGGACACAUCGCUUUCAUCAACCACUAGGACAAACUCGGACCAC